UCAUCGUCUCUCUGCGAGAAUUCCACGUAGUAGAACCAAAAAAAAAAAAACAUCAGCUUAGCCUGAUGUUCCCAUCCAUCAGAGAGACAGAGAGUCAACGCUUUCCUCUAACCUCCGUAUAUGGACGCUUCCAUCGCCGGGGCAUCACCGGAGAAGGGAAAAUCUGACAUACCUGAAGAUAGUGUUAGCAAAUCAGGUUCUAGUACUCUUAUUUCAAUGUCAGCAGCGUCACCAGCUACUAAACAUGAAUUAGCUGAACUCUCCGAAAAUAAAACGGCAAAGCAUUGGACGCCGGAAAUUAACGACGCAUUCAUCCGUGCGGUUUUAUCCUUAGGGCAUCAAAAUGCUACGCCGAAUGGAAUUUUGCAGUUAAUGAAUGUCAAGGGUUUGACCAUGGAGAGUGUGACAAGCCAUUUGUUGAGUUACCGGCUUUCGUUGCAAAAGACGCAAGAUUUUGCGUUCCAAGAGCCAGGAUCAGGGGAUGGAACUUCUAGUGCCCACCAACUGUUUGAUGAAAUUCCCCAAGGUUUGGCCGGGGGUGGGAUUUCUGCCGCCCAUCAAGUGUUUGAUGAUAUGCAUUUGAAAACAUCUAAUGAAGGUUCAGCAGGGGGUGGAAUAUCUGGAGCCUACCAACCGUUUGACGAAAUUCCCCCACAUUCGGCCGGGGUUGGAGCUUCUGGAACCCAUCUAGUAUUUGGUGAAUUUUGCAAUGGUAAACUGCUGGGAGAAAAAAUGAAAUCAGGAACGAGUUUGAAUAAUAUUCUGCAGAACGAGUCGCCCAAGGAUGCUGUUUCCGAGUCAUUGGCGACGUUUGUGGAGAAGAGGAAGACAAAGAAAAGUCCAAUCCAUCAUCAUCAUCAUAUGAAGAGCUUAUUGAAUGCCUCAGCUGUAUUUGCUCCUACUUAUAAUUAUCUUCCUAUUCCUAUAUAUUAUCCAACUCUCAGUGCCAUUGACCAUCGCCCUUUUAAAUCUAUAACUCACGGAUUGACCCCUUAUCAUUCUAUUGCUAAAGAUGUAAAAUAUCCUGGUUCUAUGACUUAUAUCCCUAUUGAUCCCUAUUCCCAUCUUCAGCCUAGCUUGCCUUUUGAUCGGAUGUCUAUCAAUGAUCCCUUGCAUUUUGAUACAAUGAUCGUUAAUGAUGCCUUGCUUUAUUGUGCUUUGUUUCCUCCUGGUGAUGAAUUUGAGAAAGAUACACUGGUUCAGUUAUGGAUGGCAGAUGGGAUUUUUGUUGAAGAGCCGAUGGAGAGAAUAGCUGGCCUAUUUUUUGAGGAUUGUUUGACAAAGAAUUACUUUCAGUUGAGCAGAACCAAUUUGGUAACUGGUAAAGCUAUGUAUAAAUUCAUCAGAGACAGCCGCUUAGACACAUUAUUGAUCUCAAGAGACAAACGUAUUGGUAGAAUAGAGGGUAGUUACAACUUAAACGAUCUUUCUCCGGAAGUCUCUCAUGUGUCUAUACGAUGUCACAAUCUUAAAGAUUUUACUGCUUUCUGUGGUUUUAAAAAACUCGAGCAACUCAGAACGUUAAUAUUGAUCCAAGGCCAAGAAUUGAGCUUCAAGCAAGUCUCACGCAGUUUCUUUUUGUCGUUGAGGCUGCUGCGAGUUUUGGAUUUAAGUCAGACUCGUCUCAUGGAGCUUCCAAGUUCCAUAGAGAAUCUAGUAUGUCUAUGUUACUUAGACCUUUCAGGUACUCCCAUCAAAUGUUUGCCUGAAUCAAUCGACUGCCUUAAGAUGAUACAGACCUUGAAACUCAGAAGCUGCUGGAAUCUCUCCACUUUGCCUAAUGGUAUGAGAAAGCUAAUCAACUUACGACAUCUUGAUUUCGAUGUCCUUCACCAGUUACGGUCAAUGCCUCAGGGGAUGGGAGCGUUAACUAGCAUCAGAACACUAUCAGCGUUCCUUGUGGGAGUGGAAGAAGGGUGCAGUAUUAGGCAGUUAAAAAGCAUGAAUAACAUCUCAGGAAGCUUUUGCAUCUCAAGGCUUGAAAACGUAUUGACAACGGGUGAGGCUGAGGAGGCUUGUUUGUCUAACAAGUCAGAGCUAACAAAACUGGAGUUGCAUUGGAGUGAUUCACAAGAUGAAGAUGUUGUAGGAAAUGAUAAUAUUAUUUCUUCACUUCAGCCAAAUACAAGCCUAGAAGAGUUACGCAUAAGUUGUUAUGGUGGUUUUGAACUUCCUCAUUGGAUCUGUAAUCCGGCAUACUCCAAACUUGUUAGUAUCACCCUCUUCAAAUGUGAAAACUGUCUAGUCUUAUCAUCCCUUGGUCAACUACCUUCACUGAAAUCUUUAAACAUAGCUGACUUCCGCAAACUGAAGGUGAUUGAUCAAAAGUUUUACAGAGGUGCAGGCAUUCCAGGGUGCAUUGCGUUCCCAAAGUUAGAGAGGUUAACUGUUGAAAAUAUGUUCAGUUUUGAAGAAUGGUCUGGACUUGGGAGGUUCAACUUCCCUCAUCUUCUUAAGCUCACAAUUAAACAUUGCCCCAAACUCCAGAGGUUACGCGCACUAUCUAGCCUAAGUUCCCUUGAACACUUGGAGAUUAGUGGUUGUGAAAUGCUUUCUUCUUUUCCUAAUGGAAAACUGCCUGAUGGGUUAGAAACUUUCAUUGUCGAGGAUUGCCCCUUCAUUAGUGCAAUGGCCUUGAAUGAUGGUGGUCAGGAUUGGUAUAAGGUUGCACAUAUUCCACAUGUAUGGAUUGAUCAUCAGGAGAUGUCGAAGAAUCUCAGGGAGAUUUAGAGGAAAUUCUACCAUGGUCUGGACUUCUGAUUUGAACUUUGGAGAAGGAACCAUACUUUGUGGUUAUCUGAAUGCAGAUGACAUUGUCCUAUAUCUGCCCUGGGUUUCUUGUUUCUUUUUCGUGGCGUUAUGAUUAAUAGGACGGAGAUAUACUAAUUAAAACUUCGGCAUUGCUCACAAUAUAUAUCUAUGUUAAAUGAGGCUUAAGUUUAAGCAUUGUCCUAGGUCACCAAGCUUACACAGACUGUCAAAUCUUUGUUCCCUUGAAGUUUUGGAGAAAAAUCACUGUCCAUCGCUUGUUAUUCAGGAUGAAGGUCUGUUAUCAGCAUUUGCCCAAUUAGUAAAGCAUUUCAACAUGUUCCUGAUGUUUGGUUUGAUAAUUAAGGAUAUUACUUGGUCAAAGAUCUUUCAAGUGCUUCUUUCCCUUUGUGUGUGUGUGUGUGUGUGUGAGCGUGCCCAGGCGCACGCUCGCUGUAUGAUUCAAUCUUUAACCGUUAUUUUGUUAAUUAAGUCGAUAUGUUUGUAACUUUGUAUGACAGUUAUACAUUUAAGAGAGGUAAUGAGGAAAGGAGAGAGUUGGGAGUAUGGAGGAUUUUUGAAGAAGCUAUUGUGAACAAGCCUGGGAUAUUUUUGCUGUUGUUUGUUGAUAGUUUGGUUAGUUUCUACUCUGAAUGUUCAACCUUUUGGGUCAUGGAGGUUUUAAAUGUACAACGAUACAUGGACUCUUUUGCAACCCCGUGCCCCCUAAAAGACCCAUUACUGUAUUGAACUGGUGAAUCCAUGCACACAGUGUAAACUAUCGAGUUUUCAUCUGUUUCGACCAGGAUAUUGAUUUACUUUGCCAGGACCUCUUUCUCUGAUGUCAAAAUUUAGGUUGGUCAGACUAACAGUGGCAUUUAUUCCUAGUCGCAUGUACGGUUCUUGUUGGUGAAACAUCAGAAAUUUAUUUAAUCAGAAUCCCUAAGGUCUCCGACUUGGCUAGUAUCAUCUAACCCCUGGUUAUUUGGCUAUGCCGGGGCUGCUACCGCUAGGCCUGCUAGUUAGGAAUCUUAAGAUUAUUAGAAAGUGUCAAACUGUAAUUGAGAUUGGUUAUCUGAUUGACAAGAUAGUGUCCUGUGUAGACGGUACAGGCACGCCAAAGUUCUCUCUAUUUAAUUUCCAUUUCACUUGUAAGAAGUACAAAGUAUAAAUUCUCGAGGAGGUUUAGUUUAAGGAGAAACUUUCUCUUAUCUUUUCUCUUCCUAUUACCCGACACUUACUCUAAUCAUACAUUUUCUCUUAUCGUUUCUUUGUGCCAAAAAUUAAACAAGUAUAAACAGUGGUGGUUAUAUCCCCUCAAAGAAAAGAUAGUGAUGGUUAUAAUUGGGAACGGUCUUGGUCAGCAGGAUGGCUGGUGACUGGCUGGAGGGUGGGGGGAGAGUCAUUUUAGAGGUGGGAGCUAGGCAGCUAGCCAGAUGGGAGUCAUCGUCUUGGUGGAGUGUAUCGCAGUAGGUAACGUAGAUUGAAUACAAUAUCCAGGAGGGGGUGUGGUUUAUUUUAACACUAAUUAACUUUCUUUAUUGUAAUUUUUUUUUGUUUUGUUAUGCCAGCACCAUGUUAGUUGUUGACAUCAUGUAAUUCAUGAUAUCCUCACUUAUUGGCACCUUCUAAGAAGCAUCUUGAACGAGCCAACAUAAAGCUGUUGACUUUGAGUUUUUAACAUCUUAUCUCCAUUCUCCAUUCUCCAUU